AACCUCAGCCCGAAUUGUCACCGUAUGGUGUGCGUGCCGAAAGGCUAGGGCUGAGGUUUUUA
rnacentral:ncRNA from 1 species